GGACCGGUCACUCUUUGAUCUUAUUAAAAUGCAGAUUCUGAUGGGAGCCGUCUGGCGCCUGAGAUUCUGCAUUUCUAACAAGCUCUCAGGUGACCUUGAU
rnacentral:pre_miRNA from 1 species